UCCACUGAGUAGUAGUUAGCUUGGGCAUAGAUAUCUAGGUUCAGAGUAGCUAGCAAUACCAGCACUGCAAGGAAUUCCUAGCUGGCCACGGUCCUCAUGCCCCGCCAGUCUCCUCAUAGGAUUUAAAGGUAUAAAUAGAGAUACCCUGGCGUAUCUCUCUUCCUGCCCUUCCAAGCUUCCAGAAGGGAUGACUCCUACUGUGCUUUGUUGCUAUAGAAAGGUCUGGCUCAUGGUUUGGCAGCUCAAAAGACUGUAUAGGAAAACAUGUCUUUGGUGGGGAUUAAAAAUGACUAUCGGUCUCCCUUUCUAAAUGAGAAGGGAGAAACCUAAUGGCAUUGAUGGACAAGGUCUCAGUAUCAGAAGUGACUUUGGCUGGAGGUCCUACAUGAACUCCAAACAUUGGAUGAUUUGAGAAAAGACAUGUUCUUACUUCAGUGUUGUUACUGGCAGUCUCCUCCUUCCUGCCCUGUUACUGAGUAUGGUCUAAAAUGCCACAUUUCUGAAGUGUUAGUAAUGCCACAGGAUGAUAAAAAUUUAAACGUAUCAGGCUGGAAUUUCAGAGCAAAACCCGUUUUAUUUAGACUGCUACUUGAACUUCUGCAUUUUCUUCAGUGCAAUUUUUCUUUCUCAAAAUUCUCAGCCAUCUUUGAAUGCUGUGCUGCAAGGCUGGUACCUGUUUCAAGCUAGUAAGGAGUUUAAUUAAAAUAAGAGGAAGAUCUUUACAGAAAAGACAUCCUUGGUCUGCAGUAUAUUGCCAGACUACUGUUGGAGACAAGAUACAGACGUGGAAGGACUUUUGGCUUGAGUCAUUAUGACUGUUAUUUUGUUCAGAAAAAGAAAUUAAAGGAAAGAGCAUGAAGAUGUCCGGGCACUAAGAUGCCAAGCACUAAGAUCAGCACAGGCAAGAUGUAUAAAGCUGUCAGAUCAGCUUUUGAGUUCCUCACUCUGGUUGGAUGUAAAGGUCAGAGAAGCAGGUUGCUGUGGCAGAAGGAAAGAAGUGUUCAAGAUCUGUGAAUGCUAGAAUGGUUCCACGUGUCCAUGAGGACACAGGCAGUAAUUUGGACACUCCUACUCCAAACUUUGAAGAGAAGCCAUUUAUACAGCUUGAGCUCUCCUAAAUCCACUAUUCACCUUGAUCUACUCAAAAGCACGAAGUCGCUGUACACUGUGGUUCUGCUGCUUUGCAUACGUCUGCACUGGAUCCCUACAGCAACAUGUCACUGUGCAUCUUUUGUGGAUAUGUGGAUAUGCGUGUAAAUCUGUUUUCUGGAUUGUUUGGAAGGUUGGAAGGUGAUCCUAAGUAUGUCCAAGGAAGAAAAGCAUUACAGUGAGCAGAGAUGAAUACAAAUACAAAUGUCCCAUCGACUGCUUAGAAGCCAUACUAUUUGACAGCAUCUGGAUCUCUGACUAUGGCAGCACUAGAAAAACUGUAUGUUUGUGUCUGGAAAAUUGUGGAACUGCAGCCUGAAGUAUCUGAAGAGUGACCCCCUCCAGCUUUUGAAAACGGCACAAACAGGAGGAAAACGUGCUCAGGAAGCGGGAUUUGGGGUCAAUUCGCCCCUCCAGGACGAUCGAGCCCGGCCGGACGGGGACCCGUCCAGCCCCGGCGUGGACCGCGGGCCAGCGGCACCCUCUGGCGGCCGGCGGGGCACGGCCCCGAUCUCGGCCCCGGGCUGCCUCCAGACACGGCGUGCGACCGGCAAACACAGCCUCGAAGCUCUGCUGCCGGCUGGCUCGAUGGCUCAGAGCCUUAGGGAGGUUUUGGCCACCCCCAUCAUAACCAUGGGUGGGCGCAGAGUUGCUUGCAGGUCUCUUUCAUCUGCUUCAGUGUAAUGGUUUUUGGUUGUCAAAUUCAUUUUAGGCUUUUUCGUUAAGUCCAGUACUUACCCUGCGUUAUAUAAGCGGCUUGAAAAAAUGUUGGCUGUGUUAGGGGCCAAAUGCCUGACAUCAGAAUUUAAAGUGCAAAAACGUUUACAUGAUGCGAGCCUACUAUUUCAGCUGAUGCUAUUUUAAACCUACAAAUCCCUAUUUAUUGACUGAAUAUUCUUGCCACAUACACUUGUGUAGAUUUUUACAAAGGCGGGAAGUGCUAAGAGCCUCUGAUCAAAGCUGUACUCAGUGCAACCCGAAUUCUGAAUGCUGGUUUGAAUUUCUUAGGCGGCUCAUAUCUUUAGAAAUUGCUGCAGGUUUGCGUUGAGCCAAAAUUUCGGACACUGAACACUGGAAAUGUUGACCUCGAUUGGGAUAUUUGCUCCUGGGCUUCUUUGUCUGGCAAUAAGUCAACAUGGGAGUUUUCAGCCUUUUCUGAUAUAUGGGUCCUUUCACUUGUGACUUAAAGCCAUUGGCAACAGUCCUGUUUUCCUUAGAGCUCUUUCAAUGAACCGCGAGCCUGAACUGCUGUACUUGCUAUGAUUGAAGUGAUCUUAUUGUACAGCUAGGCUUCGUUGCUCGUCCAAAUCAUAAACCUCUGGAGGUUACAUGUUUUGACAUCUUAGUAAUGUGCAGAACCACUUCUGUGAUUCUGUGAUUCUAUGAUUCUAUUUCUGUUUCUUCCAAGCCACUGUAAGAGAGCUGUUCUUUUCCAUUCUUGCUGAAGCUUUGUUAGCUUGAAAUGCCCUCUGCACAGUUCUAUAAGAAAGGACCUUGCUGUAGUUAUUUGAAUUCAUCUCAGAGUUGAACAUAAAAUAUUAGAAGGAUUCCUUUAGCAGUGUUGAAAUAGCAUAAGUGGGCAUAUCCUAUGCUGACCAUGCAUGUGAUAUUCCCAGCAACUGACUGACAUGCCUUCAAAAGAUCAAAUUCAGCCUUCCUUGCAUGGUAUAAGAUAAAAAUCUGGCCUAGGAUUUAACUGUACCUGGUAAUUAAGUUUAAAGAACAAUAAUGCCUCGCAAACCUCUCCAGGCCUACAGUAAGCAUGCUGGAAUCUUGGUUGCCAUUUCUGCAAACUGUUUACAAUUCACAUACCUCUACAAAUCCAGUCCUGAUCUCAAAUUGCUGCUCAUAAACAACAUAGCAGGGAUUUGAUGUAUGAGGGCAUGUUCUGAAUUCCCCUUCCCUAGCAGUAGCAUGGCUAGCUUCUAGCAUUAAAAACCCUCUUAUGUCUCUUCUUGUUACAAGCAGUGCUCCAUUAACUACUUGAAUACAUCUGGUGGCCAAUUUUUUUUGAUUAUUAUUAUUUUUUAUUUUUGUGACUAGUGGCAAGAAGGCAGAUGUAACAUUUUAUUCUCUUCUGCGGCUGCUAGCUGUCUACAAACGAAUAUUUGUCACAACUGGAGGCAGGACAGCCUCUGUUAACCAUCCCAGAAUUUCUCCGGGAUGAGCCCAUCAAAGCCAGAUGUUGUUAAACUUCAAAGCAUGGUACAAAAGUGAUCCUUCAGGCUGUGCUCUUGAUUAAUUUUAAAGUAUCAGUAUUUCUUAAUGAACCUCAGUAGUGCAGUGAUAAUUAAAAAUAUCAGGUAAAC